rnacentral:rRNA from 1 species
AUUGGAUUGCACGUCUAAGCAGUAAGGCUGAGUAUUAGGCAAAUCCGGUACUCGUUAAGGCUGAGCUGUGAUGGGGAGAAGACAUUGUGUCUUCGAGUCGUUGAUUUCACACUGCCGAGAAAAGCCUCUAGAUAGAAAAUAGGUGCCCGUACCGCAAACCGACACAGGUAGUCAAGAUGAGAAUUCUAAGGUGAGCGAGCGAACUCUCGUUAAGGAACUCGGCAAAAUGACCCCGUAACUUCGGGAGAAGGGGUGCUCUUUAGGGUUAACGCCCAGAAGAGCCGCAGUGAAUAGGCCCAAGCGACUGUUUAUCAAAAACACAGGUCUCUGCUAAACCGUAAGGUGAUGUAUAGGGGCUGACGCCUGCCCGGUGCUGGAAGGUUAAGAGGAGUGGUUAGCUUCUGCGAAGCUACGAAUCGAAGCCCCAGUAAACGGCGGCCGUAACUAUAACGGUCCUAAGGUAGCGAAAUUCCUUGUCGGGUAAGUUCCGACCCGCACGAAAGGCGUAACGAUUUGGGCACUGUCUCAACGAGAGACUCGGUGAAAUCAUAGUACCUGUGAAGAUGCAGGUUACCCGCGACAGGACGGAAAGACCCCGUGGAGCUUUACUGUAGCCUGAUAUUGAAAUUCGGCACAGCUUGUACAGGAUAGGUAGGAGCCUUUGAAACGUGAGCGCUAGCUUACGUGGAGGCGCUGGUGGGAUACUACCCUAGCUGUGUUGGCUUUCUAACCCGCACCACUUAUCGUGGUGGGAGACAGUGUCAGGCGGGCAGUUUGACUGGGGCGGUCGCCUCCUAAAAGGUAACGGAGGCGCUCAAAGGUUCCCUCAGAAUGGUUGGAAAUCAUUCAUAGAGUGUAAAGGCAUAAGGGAGCUUGACUGCGAGACCUACAAGUCGAGCAGGGUCGAAAGACGGACUUAGUGAUCCGGUGGUUCCGCAUGGAAGGGCCAUCGCUCAACGGAUAAAAGCUACCCCGGGGAUAACAGGCUUAUCUCCCCCAAGAGUUCACAUCGACGGGGAGGUUUGGCACCUCGAUGUCGGCUCAUCGCAUCCUGGGGCUGUAGUCGGUCCCAAGGGUUGGGCUGUUCGCCCAUUAAAGCGGUACGCGAGCUGGGUUCAGAACGUCGUGAGACAGUUCGGUCCCUAUCCGUCGUGGGCGUAGGAAAUUUGAGAGGAGCUGUCCUUAGUACGAGAGGACCGGGAUGGACAUACCUCUGGUGUACCAGUUGUCGUGCCAACGGCAUAGCUGGGUAGCUAUGUGUGGACGGGAUAAGUGCUGAAAGCAUCUAAGCAUGAAGCCCCCCUCAAGAUGAGAUUUCCCAACUUCGGUUAUAAGAUCCCUCAAAGAUGAUGAGGUUAAUAGGUUCGAGGUGGAAGCAUGGUGACAUGUGGAGCUGACGAAUACUAAUCGAUCGAAGACUUAAUC